ACACAGAAAAAUGGGAACGUCAAGAGAGGGACGGAUUUCGCUCGGCGAUGUAACAAACAUAUAUACUCCAGGUAUAAGCAUAUACACAUAUUGCAAUGAAAUAUCCCUGGAGAACUCCAAGUUCUACUUCAACAUAUCAGAAGCAUAUUUUUAGCACAUUUCUUGAUUGUGUUGUGAUAAUGCCACCCAGUCCUAGCUCAAACCCUAGACAAUGUACACUACCUACAACAUCAAAAUCCACCCCACCAACUGUAACCUAGAAAAUGUACUCGUUUUGAUUCCAUAUUCUCCAAAUCCAUCCCCACGAACUCUAACCCUAGACGAUGCUACUGAUCCGAUUCAAUUUCAUGGAGGGAGUGAGAAUGAGGGGGGAUUUCGCAUACCUUCUUC
rnacentral:lncRNA from 1 species